AAACUCGCCUACAUGAAGCUGGAGUUACUAGUAAUCGCAGAUCAGAAUGCUGCGGUGAAUGCGUUCCCGGGUCUUGUACACACCGCCCGUCACACCACGGAAGUUGGGGCGCCCGAAGCCACUUAGCUAACCCUUUUGGGAAGCGAGUGUCGAAGGUGAAAUCAAUAACUGGGGUGAAGUCGUAACAAGGUAGC
rnacentral:rRNA from 1 species